rnacentral:rRNA from 1 species
CAGUCGCCACGGUAAUCCGUAGGUGGCAAGCGUUGUCCGGAAUUAUUGGGCGUAAAGGGCUCGCAGGCGGUUUCUUAAGUCUGAUGUGAAAGCCCCCGGCUCAACCGGGGAGGGUCAUUGGAAACUGGGAAACUUGAGUGCAGAAGAGGAGAGUGGAAUUCCACAUGUAGCGGUGAAAUGCGUAGAGAUGUGGAGGAACACCAGUGGCGAAGGCGACUCUCUGGUCUGUAACUGACGCUGAGGAGCGAAAGCGUGGGGAGCGAACAGGAUUAGAGACCCCGGUAGUCCCUGUCUCUUAUAC